rnacentral:rRNA from 1 species
UACGUAGGGUGCAAGCGUUAAUCGGAAUUACUGGGCGUAAAGCGUGCGCAGGCGGUUUUGUAAGUCUGUCGUGAAAUCCCCGGGCUCAACCUGGGAAUGGCGAUGGAGACUGCAAGGCUAGAGUUUGGCAGAGGGGGGUAGAAUUCCACGUGUAGCAGUGAAAUGCGUAGAUAUGUGGAGGAACACCGAUGGCGAAGGCAGCCCCCUGGGUCAAAACUGACGCUCAUGCACGAAAGCGUGGGGAGCAAACAG